UGCGUAGGCGGAAAAGUAAGUCAGUGGUGAAAUCUUGUGGCUCAGCCAUAAAAUUGCCAUUGAUACUGUUUUUCUUGAGUAUAGUUGAGGUAGGCGGAAUGUGUCAUGUAGCGGUGAAAUGCUUAGAUAUGACCCAGAACACCGAUUGCGUAGGCAGCUUGCUAAACUAUUACUGACGCUGAUGCACGAAAGCGUGGGUAGCGAACAGGAUUAGAUACCCUGGUAGUCC
rnacentral:rRNA from 1 species